UGCAGAGGGUGCGAGCGUUGUUCGGAAUUACUGGGCGUAAAGCGCGCGCAGGCGGCUUUUUAAGUCCGACGGUGAAAUGCCGGGGCUCAACCCCGUGCCCGCCGCGGAUACUGGGAAGCUGGAGACGAGUAGAGGCAAGCGGAAUUCCGGGUGUAGCGGUGGAAUGCGUAGAGAUCCGGAAGAACACCGGAGGCGAAGGCGGCUUGCUGGGCUCGGUCUGACGCUGAGGCGCGAAAGCGUGGGGAGCGAACAGG
rnacentral:rRNA from 1 species